rnacentral:rRNA from 1 species
GAUGAACGCUAGCUACAGGCUUAACACAUGCAAGUCGAGGGGCAUCGGGAAGAAAGCUUGCUUUCUUUGCCGGCGACCGGCGCACGGGUGAGUAACACGUAUCCAACCUGCCCUUUACUCGGGGAUAGCCUUUCGAAAGAAAGAUUAAUACCCGAUAGCAUAAUGAUUCCGCAUGGUUUCAUUAUUAAAGGAUUCCGGUAAAGGAUGGGGAUGCGUUCCAUUAGGUUGUUGGUGGGGUAACGGCCCACCAAGCCUUCGAUGGAUAGGGGUUCUGAGAGGAAGGUCCCCCACAUUGGAACUGAGACACGGUCCAAACUCCUACGGGAGGCAGCAGUGAGGAAUAUUGGUCAAUGGGCGCUAGCCUGAACCAGCCAAGUAGCGUGAAGGAUGAAGGCUCUAUGGGUCGUAAACUUCUUUUAUAUAAGAAUAAAGUGCAGUAUGUAUACUGUUUUGUAUGUAUUAUAUGAAUAAGGAUCGGCUAACUCCGUGCCAGCAGCCGCGGUAAUACGGAGGAUCCGAGCGUUAUCCGGAUUUAUUGGGUUUAAAGGGAGCGUAGGUGGACUGGUAAGUCAGUUGUGAAAGUUUGCGGCUCAACCGUAAAAUUGCAGUUGAUACUGUCAGUCUUGAGUACAGUAGAGGUGGGCGGAAUUCGUGGUGUAGCGGUGAAAUGCUUAGAUAUCACGAAGAACUCCGAUUGCGAAGGCAGCUCACUGGACUGCAACUGACACUGAUGCUCGAAAGUGUGGGUAUCAAACAGG